GAUGAAGAACGUAGCGAAAUGCGAUAAGUAAUGCGAAUUGCAGAAUCCGUGAGUCAUCGAAUCUUUGAACGCACAUUGCGCCCUCUGGUAUUCCGGAGGGCAUGCCUGUUCGAGCGUCAUUAUCACCCCUCAAGCCCGGCUUGUUGUUGGAUGCAGCGCUUAUCCCGCUCCUCCCAAAGAUAAUGACGGCGUCUGCGACGACUCCUGUACACUGAGCUUUCGGGCACGUACACGGCUAGAAGUCCAGACCCGGUCGCCGUCCCCCCCGCGGGGACACCCAUUACCACAAGGUUGACCUCGGAUCAGGUAGGAAUAUCCGCUGAACUUAAGCAUAUCAAUAAGCGGAGGA
rnacentral:misc_RNA from 1 species